rnacentral:rRNA from 1 species
AGAGUUUGAUCAUGGCUCAGGACCAUUAAAGGCGGCACGCCUAACACAUGCAAGUCGAACGGUGACCGUGGAACUUGUUCCACUCGAACAGUGGCGGACGGGUGAGUAACACGUGAGCAACCUGCCUUUCAGAGGGGGACAACCCUUGGAAACGACUGCUAAUACCGCAUAAAAUAAUGGAAUCGCAUGAUUCUGUUAUCAAAGGAGAAAUCCGCUGAAAGAUGGGCUCGCGUCUGAUUAGAUAGUUGGUGAGGUAACGGCCCACCAAGUCGACGAUCAGUAGCCGGACUGAGAGGUUGAACGGCCACAUUGGGACUGAGACACGGCCCAGACUCCUACGGGAGGCAGCAGUGGGGGAUAUUGGACAAUGGGGGAAACCCUGAUCCAGCGAUGCCGCGUGAGGGAAGAAGGUUUUCGGAUUGUAAACCUCUGUGGACAGGGACGAUAAUGACGGUACCUGUCAAGAAAGCCACGGCUAACUACGUGCCAGCAGCCGCGGUAAUACGUAGGUGGCGAGCGUUGUCCGGAAUUACUGGGUGUAAAGGGAGUGUAGGCGGGAAGGCAAGUCAGAAGUGAAAAUUAUGGGCUCAACCCAUAACCUGCUUUUGAAACUGUUUUUCUUGAGUGAAGCAGAGGCAAGCGGAAUUCCUAGUGUAGCGGUGAAAUGCGUAGAUAUUANGAGGAACACCAGUGGCGAAAGCGGGUUGCUGGGCUUUUACUGACGCUGAGGCUCGAAAGCCGUGGGGAGCAAACCGGAUUAAAUACCCGGGUAGUCCCCGCCGUAAACGAUGAUUACUAGGUGUGGGGGGGAUGAACCCUUCCCUUGCGGGAUUUAAAACCAAUAAA